rnacentral:lncRNA from 1 species
AUAUCUAUAUAUAGUUUAUUUCUCACAAUCCUGGUAAGAGUUACAGGUGUAUUUGGGAAUCAUUUACAUCACAAUGGGACAAGCUAAACUACUUUAAAUUUUCAAUCUAGUAUUUCUAGUCUACCUGCAUUAUUGCAUUUAUACGCUUUUUUUGUUUUCAAAGUCAAAGUAAAUAGAAUACUAUAUGGGAAAGGAAAAAAUUCUUGACUAUUUUAGGAUUUGAGCUGCAGCCCAUACAAAGUGUCCAUAGAAGCAUAGACAAGAUUAUAAAUUCAACAAGGUAUAAAUUAGCUGGAUAGCUUUGUGUGUAGGUAGGUGUCCAUUUCCCUCCAGGAAAUGUGUCUAGCAGCAUAUUGUUUCUGAGAGCAAAAAAAAACCCCAAACCUGUACAUUGAACACAGGUAAGUGACAAGCAGGUCUGGUUGUACAGGGAAGAAAUCAAGGCGUCAAUUGGAAAAUUCCUAUCAUUUGGAAAACACACUCAGGAGCUGAUUCAAAACCCACCGACAUCAUUGGAAAGGUGUCUGAGGCUUCCAAAGGAACAGCAGGCAUUUCAGUCUGACUUUCGAGGGCUUUGGAUCAGUCCCUGAAGAAGUAACAGAAUCCAAACAAACCAAAAACAAAAUAAAAAUCCCCUGUAAUCUGACCUUCGAGUUCCCUUCCUAAAAUUUUAGUUCCUCCACAAACUGAUAGCCAACCUGCACCUACCACUGGAAGAGAGUUGGUUUCCUGGGGAGGUGAAACUGCAACUUUUAAAAGCUUCAGUUGAAACAGUCCUGGGAAAAGGCACCAGGGUUAUGAAGGGCUGCUCAAAACUCAGUAAAGCCAAAUUAUUCCCAUGUUGGUUAGUUGAUUGGUUUUUAACCAAACAAAAUUGUGUGGCACCCUUGUUCUUAUCAACUUGCCCCAGAAGCCUGGCUGCUUGAAGCAGCCAUGGCAGAACCAGGGAUAUGAUGCAGGACAUGACUGGUGGAAAGGUGAUUUAAGAUUCCUCUUGUCCUGGUGGGACCUUUGGUGCUGCAGCAUCAUCACACAGAAAGAACCUGUACAUUCAUGCUUGGGAUGCUGCACUGAAGCUGGGAAAUGGAAAAGUGAUGGAACUGUUUGAGAAUUGCAAGCUGGGAAUAUCCAGAAGAGAAAUAGGAACAGCCAGUCCAAAGCCUGUUUAACCCAUGUUAUGCUCUUCAGAAAAAAAAAAAAGAAGAAAAAAAAAAAAAAGUCUAUUUAAUUUGAAGAGCAUCAAAGAGGGCACGAGUCCCAGAGCACUGCAUAUCAGAGCACACACUAUCCAGAGGAGGCAGCAGAGCUAUAGCACAAGGUAGAUCCAAACUCAUGAAUUUGGAAAGCCAAAGGCUCUCAUCUCUCGCAAGAUUUUGAGGCCUAUUAUGGUCAAUUAAAUGAAAUGUGAAUUUUAGAGGCCUGGAUGUCCCACACUUCCCUAUCACCCAGUGACACCUGAUCAGCUCAUUGAAAUGAGACAAUCCUUGCACUUCCUGCACCCUCACACCUGACACAACAGCUGAUCCUUCCAGGCCAGCAGAAGUACAUGUCCUCGACUUCAAAACUUCUCUUUUCCCUCUGUUUUUGGUGCUCCAGAGGGCUGAGGGAGCUCUGGCUGCAGCCAAGCGCAGUCUGUGCUCACACCAUGUCAGCCCCUCUCAAGCAGCCAGAACACCUCAUACCUGACUGACAGGGAAGGACAAGAAGGGACCUGCCUGGGGAUUUGUCAUCCAUUACAAAUCCUGUGGCAGCCAAGCACUCAGCCUCUUGCAGACUUAGACCCUCAAAGGUGAGGGUAGAUCAAAGCUCCACACAUUCUCUGAUGUGACACAGUCUGGGGGCCCAGCACUGCCUGUAUUUUUGGGGGACCCACCUAACACCUGCCUUAGACAACCCAAAGUCUGCCCCAGCUUUGGGCUAUGGAGAGGCCAUAUCUGCAGAGCUGCUCAGGAAGAAAGCAGGGAAAGAAAAGGGAAUACAGUGCAGUGGCCAAAGGAGGAGGAAAGAACAAGCAAUGAUCAGAUCAGAAACCAAUUGAACGCCACAGUUUGUAGCAGCUGAAGACCUGGUGUGAACAGACAUCCCAGGAAUUAGGGAAUUUAAAAGGAAAGCAGGUUAAAGGGCCGGACUGAUGGUCUCAAAAAGAAGAGGAAGAAGUCAUCAUAAAUCCACCUUAUUCAGUGGAUUAAACCCCUGAGGGUUGCUGGAUGGGGGCACAGGCUCCAAGGCUUUUUGGAGCUGUCAGCUAAGUGUCACUCAUAAGACCCAAAAUGUGCCAACAAAUCCUCAGCAUCAGCAGAUUUCUCCCCAAAAGAGUAAAGGACCAAAUACCGCCCGUGUAAAUAGCAGGAAAUAUUCCCAAUUCCAAUGUCCUGCAAGGAGAAUUUACUGGAAUACAGAGCUGUUAUGUUCCAGAUCAAAGCCAAUUCCUCUUUGUGGCAGGAAGUGCCCAACCUGUGCAGCAGAACUGCAGCCAGCUCAUGAAUGGGAUGUGAUGCUGCAAGGCCUGGGAAGGGAAUCAGCAUUCCUGCUCCAGCAUGAAGGCUGGACCAGGAGGAUGGAAGUGCGAGCAGGCUGCUUUUGCAGUCCUUGUCAUAACGUGAAAAGAGAAUACAGCCCCUCCUGAUGUCCUGGCAAUUCCCCUGAAUCAUGCAAGGUUGGUUAUAGAAAACUUCAGGUAUUUUUCUAACCCUUUAACAUUGCACAGAGCCAGCAGGAAUUCAUCUGGAAAAGGCAAUUAGCAGAGGUUAAUUUGCAUGGCACCAGAGCUCAUAAUUUUUGCCUUUUUCUGAGGAAGAAAAAAGGGGGGAAGAGGAUAUAAAAGUUAGGAUGUCCUUACCAAAGCUAUUAAGAUAAUUAAAUAGUGCUUUUUCUCUCCACUUCUCUGCUCUGUUCCUUGUACCCUCUCAGAAUCUUCACUGACUCAAAGCUUUCCAUGGAGCUGAUUGAAAUUCCAAAAAUUUCACCUUUCAAACAUAUUUUUUCAUUGCCUUCCUUUUUUGGUUUAUUUCUUGAAGAAUAAUUUUCUUCUCCAAUCUCCAGCACUGUUAUUUUCAACCAAUUCUAAGAAUAGUUAGAAGGCCGCUGAAUUCUAAACCCCAGUAGCAUUUCCAAGAAAAGUAGGGAAUAUUUUAAGGCAUAAAUCAUCUCUCACCAGCUCCAGGAGUUUUUGGUUACACUGCUGUUGUUCAUACACAAAUCCUGAUACCAUCAUAAGCAGGGCUGCCUCAGAGAACAGACUUCCUUUACGCUCAGCCUAAGGAACAUUUGUAUCAAUUGAAAAACAAAUGUGUAAUUGAGAUGAUUUUAUGAUGACCUGUGAUCAUAUCCCUGGUGCCAACAAGAACUCAAAGGCCGGAGCAUGGUGAAACCAAUGGAAAAAUUCCCAUUGUUUUCAGUAUCCUAUGGCUCAACCUUCAAACUCUAGACCAUCAGAGACACAAAUGGAUGCUUAAUUUAUCACCCAGCCCCUAAGAAAUACUUCAGGGCAACUGACUGUUGAGUGUUUUAAGUGAGCCACAGGCAAACAGGAAUGCAUUCUUGCCCUCCCAAAAAUGCUGCUGCAUAAUCCCCCAGCUUCCAGAUUUGUUUUCAUCCUACUGCAACACCGUUAGGAAUAACAGGAUUUAGCUACAGGGUAUUAAAUCAGUAGGAAGAGGAAGCAGAAGCAUAAUCCAUUUAAUCUCUCUUAAAAUAGAAGCAGCAAAAACCUUCUACUGAGUUGUCCAAGACAGCAAAAUGACAUCUUUAUAUUCAACUAAAAUUUAUGAUUCCCUAAAAAGAGAUUGAGAUUGGGUGCAGUGAUUCAGUUGAGAGUUUUGGUGCUAAGCUGAAAGGUCUGAAACCAAUUUUGCCAAUAUUUAAUUUAUCAACUUGAUAAAAAGAGUAAACUAGCAAUCUAGAUCUCUUCAAACCCCAAGCACAGACUCUGAUUAGUUUUAAAUGUUAAUUCACUGUCCCCAUGGAGAUGUCACUGGAAGGACUUUAUACCACAAAAACCACACAAAGGAGGACAUCAAGCAAAUAACGGCGUGUGCUCAGUACAAGAAAAGACAACUAUUUAUUUAGCACAGCGAGGUCAGUCAUUAAAGCCUUCUGUUUCGACAGAGCUGGGGCUGAGAGAGGGGGAUUGCUCCCUCGGCCUGGUGCUCGCUGGACAUUUUUGGCUCAGAAGGAAAGCACUGCACAGCCUGGCACAGUAAGGCAGGACAGGAGCUGUUUGCAAGUCAGGGCUGCGGCGCGCUGGGGCAUCUACGCUGGAUCUGCCCAGCUCAACACUAGACCCACACUUGGAAAAGCGCUAGAGCACAGUCCAGGAUAGUCUAAAAGUGCCUCAUUUUAAAGCAAAGAGCCCACAUGACUGGGGAGCAGGGGCUCAGGGCUCCAAGCACACCACACACUCAGCACUUCACCAGCCAGACAUUCCUUGCACUGAGGAUAAACCAGGACCAAAAAGGAAUUGAGGAGCUGCAUGGCGUAGUGGGAAUGGCACAGAAAAGACAUCAUGGACACUUAGUGUGAAUGCAGGCAAGGAAGGAAGGGGCAUCUCCAGCUUGGAUUCUCUCCCCCUCCCAGACUGCAGCAAUGCAACAUGAAGGUUUGUACACACACACACACAGGAUGUGCUUCAAGGCACACACACAGACACAGACGGGUUUUUUCCAAACCAAACUGCCAAAGAGGUGGGUUCCAGGAGCUGAACCUCAACAGCAGACUCUUAAGUGAUCACAGGAAGUGGAAAAUCCCUUGGGAACAGGAAAGACCAUGUUCAAAAACCCCUUACAAACAGAACAUACCAGGUUUGCCGAGCUGGGAGGGCUCUAAUGAGCAACAUGCUCUGAUGAGGAGCUGCAGCCCCAUCACCACCUCUGUGGUGCUUCUGGAUGAAACUGGUUGCCUUGCAUCCGAGUGCUCUAAGGGCAGGUGGGGCUUGGAGAUGGAGAAAAGGUUAAGGCUAUUAGCUGGGAACUGUUUUUUCCCUCUUCUGUUGCCAAAGGUGAAGACAAGAAAAUAAAAACAUUUUAGAAAAACUGGAGACUUGAGUGGAGCGGGUGCUUCACUUUCCUUGCCCAAUCUAUCUAUGCUGGUCAGGGCAGAAUAGAUAGAUGCUGUGCCUAAUGUCACACGCUGCUAAAAACAAUCCUAGGCCAGAGCUGAGAGGGAGGGAGGGGGCAGGAAAGGUAGAAACAUCUCUUGAAAACUGACGUCACUGUCUGAAAAUCAUCACCCUAUUUGGCAAAACAUGAACCAGAGUAGGAGGGGGUGAUUUCCCUUCCCUCUGAGCAAUGUAAGCAAAACUCCCUGUGAAAAUUCCCCUGCAAAGUUGUGCUUCCGAGGGGAGAGGAGGACCUUUCUGCUUCUAACCCUUCCCCAGGCUGUGACACACUGCUGCUGGGAACACAUCCACAACUCAUGCCAAGAGUGUUUUAGGUUACCAGGAUCUCACCUGGAGCUGUAGCCCUGCUUCCCAAAAUUCCUGUGAGCCCAACAUGCUUGCUCCUAUCUCUGUGCUUGCAAAGGUGGAAGCAUUAACUUCCAGUUUCAUCAGGACACAGUGAUUGAUAUUCCCAGAGGCCAUACACCUUUGGGAAUAGUUUCUGAGUUCACCAUAGGAGUAGCCGUGCAUUCCAAGACCAUGUGCAUUCAGCAGGUCAGAUUUGGAGGUAAAUAAGACAGGCACAAGCCAAGAGAAGAAUUGCCAGGUCAGGUUAUACCUCCUCACUGGCCCGUCCAGGGACUGUGCCAGAGGCAGACACUGCAUAGGCAGCACCUGAGGAAUGCACACCUCCCUCUGUCCCUGCAACCCCUGAAUUCCUCCAUCCAUCCAUCCAUCCAUCCCAGUUAAAGGUGCACAAUGGGCUCUGUAACAGAACUCACCCCACUGUGUCACAGCCCCUGUGGCUGCUGCCAAGUUCCCAUUGGACCUCAUCUCUGACCCAACUUAAACCCAAAAUGUAAGGGGUUUUUAUAACUUGGCUGUUUUGCAGCAGCCAAGAAAAGCCUAAUGGAAGUUUUCAGAGGCAGAACUCCUCGCCUCUCACUGUUUAGUGCUGAGCAUCGGCCAAAGCACUAAACAUCCUCUCUCCUCCCCCUCACAAAGUCUGGCUUUAGACCCAAGGUACUCACCCAUGAAAUCAGGCUGCUCCAGAAGACUGGGAAUUGAUUCCAUUUCCAAAGUGUGGAUGAGUUACAAAUCCCUACUACUUCUGUCACAAGAGGGAGGUAAGAAAUCCACCCGGGACAUACUCCAGUGCCCUUGAAAGGGAUUUCUCUGGCAUAAAGCAGGUAGGUCAGUGUUACUCUCAUGGGGUCCCAGGUCCUCUCUGCUCCUAACACCAGCUCAUGUCUCCCCCUUUUCCUGUCUUCCCAUGUGCUGAGAGACCACAGGCUUCAGUGGGGAAAAAAAAUCCAGUGAAAAGCCUUAUCCAAAUCCCAAAAAAAUGAACUCACAUAGCCCAGCCAGCCUCGAGGGAGCUUGGACUGAGCCCACAGCACCCUGCAAAGCCCAGCCUAACUUUAGGAAAUACUAGAUCCAAAACAAAGUCUCUCUAUUCCAAAUGCUGCCCAUGUGACCCUGGCGAGCCCUGGGAUACUAAAGGCUGCACUGGGACUUCUCUGGGCCACAGCACAACCCCUCUGGUCACUGUCCCACUGGCAGCUCAGCCAGAAGAGUGACCUGAUGUGACAUCCCAGGCUCACACUCGGCUCUGCCACGCCGCAGCCUCCCUGGUUCCUCUGGAGCACUUCCCAGGCGGGUGUUCCAAGGUGGGAUGAUGAGGGGCAGAUACACAGACACCGACUAGGGAUGGCUGUUGGGUCAGGGAGCUGCCUCUUCCCAGCCACUGCCCCUGCGCUUCCCUUGUCCCAAGGGGGGCUGAGAAGACACCCCCAGCCCAGUGUGACAGGAGAGCCAGGCCUUAGCGCUCCCCUUCCAUCUUCUUUACCACAGCCCAAGAUAAAACAGAACCAAACAGAAACCAAAACACAAAUUGGGACUCCAAAUGGGACGUAGAACACUUUGGACUUGAAAACAGGACUGCAAGGGGCGGGGGAGGGGG